rnacentral:misc_RNA from 1 species
UAGGAAAAAAUUCAAUUUUGCAAUGGAGGGGCUUUAGUAAUGGAGCUAACAGAUAAGAGGUUAAUAGGAAAACUGGGCACAUGCAAAACUGAAGCAAGAUUUAUAAUAGAAGUGCAUUCAAAAGAACCUGCUCCAGAGACAUUGUCUAAGGAUCUGUCUGCUAUGUAGACUUUUUUUUUCCUGAACAUAGGGAAUAGGUUGUAAAUU